AGGGCAGCGCUGGAUCCUGGGCUGUGUCCCCAGGUGCCCUGGGCUCUGGGGUCUGUGUUGCUGGAAUCGCGUUCCAGGGGCUGCGCUGCUCCCU
rnacentral:pre_miRNA from 1 species